rnacentral:rRNA from 1 species
GACGAACGCUGGCGGCGUGCCUAAUACAUGCAAGUAGAACGCUGAAGAGAGGAGCUUGCUCUUCUUGGAUGAGUUGCGAACGGGUGAGUAACGCGUAGGUAACCUGCCUUGUAGCGGGGGAUAACUAUUGGAAACGAUAGCUAAUACCGCAUAACAAUGGAUGACACAUGUCAUUUAUUUGAAAGGGGCAAUUGCUCCACUACAAGAUGGACCUGCGUUGUAUUAGCUAGUAGGUGAGGUAAUGGCUCACCUAGGCGACGAUACAUAGCCGACCUGAGAGGGUGAUCGGCCACACUGGGACUGAGACACGGCCCAGACUCCUACGGGAGGCAGCAGUAGGGAAUCUUCGGCAAUGGGGGCAACCCUGACCGAGCAACGCCGCGUGAGUGAAGAAGGUUUUCGGAUCGUAAAGCUCUGUUGUAAGUCAAGAACGGGUGUGAGAGUGGAAAGUUCACACUGUGACGGUAGCUUACCAGAAAGGGACGGCUAACUACAUG